rnacentral:rRNA from 1 species
GACGAACGCUGGCGGCGUGCUUAACACAUGCAAGUCGAACGGAAAGGCCCUGCUUUUGUGGGGUGCUCGAGUGGCGAACGGGUGAGUAACACGUGAGUAACCUGCCCUUGACUUUGGGAUAACUUCAGGAAACUGGGGCUAAUACCGGAUAGGAGCUCCCGCUGCAUGGUGGGGGUUGGAAAGUUUCGGCGGUUGGGGAUGGACUCGCGGCUUAUCAGCUUGUUGGUGGGGUAGUGGCUUACCAAGGCUUUGACGGGUAGCCGGCCUGAGAGGGUGACCGGCCACAUUGGGACUAAGAUACGGCCCAGACUCCUACGGGAGGCAGCAGUGGGGAAUAUUGCACAAUGGGCGGAAGCCUGAUGCAGCAACGCCGCGUGCGGGAUGACGGCCUUCGGGUUGUAAACCGCUUUCGCCUGUGACGAAGCGUGAGUGACGGUAAUGGGUAAAGAAGCACCGGCUAACUACGUG